rnacentral:lncRNA from 1 species
CUGAUGUAACUGAAUCAAGGAAAGAUGAGGCUGGUCUGUGGGUGCUGAACAAGCUGCAAACUGAGAUCAACUGUCUCUCCUGGAAAGAAGUGCUGCUGCCAGGGUGAAGAAGCAAAGCUUGGUGAUGUGGAUAAGGCAGCAUCCUUCCUUCUCAGGUCUUCUAGUCUCCCUCCAGAACUCCCAGCAAAGCAGAAAUGUGGUGGGCAGCAUCCCACCUCCAACAUCACAAAGCGGAGUAUGAAAGGGAGAAAGUGAAAGAGAAGGAAGACGUUGGAGAAUUCACAUGCUAUUUUAGCUGGCUCUGUGAUUGCAAUCACACAAAUCAUUACAUUCCAGCGAGAUCCCAUCAACAGAAGGUUUUUCCAUUUCAGUCUGUCAAGUUUUUCAGGCAUGAAUACUGUAAGCAAGAAGAGAAAAGUUACAAUAAAUUGACAUUUAUAGUUGAAGUUGACCUCUAACCUGUGAAGCUUUCUUGAACAUUCCCUCACUGAAAACUCC